CAGCCGCCACGGUAAUACGUAGGUGGCAAGCGUUAUCCGGAAUUAUUGGGCGUAAAGCGCGCGUAGGCGGUUUUUUAAGUCUGAUGUGAAAGCCCACGGCUCAACCGUGGAGGGUCAUUGGAAACUGGAAAACUUGAGUGCAGAAGAGGAAAGUGGAAUUCCAUGUGUAGCGGUGAAAUGCGCAGAGAUAUGGAGGAACACCAGUGGCGAAGGCGACUUUCUGGUCUGUAACUGACGCUCAUGCACGAAAGCGUGGGGAGCAAACAGGAUUAGAUACCCGCGUAGUCCCUGUCUCUUAUAA
rnacentral:rRNA from 1 species